CAAGAAGUAGUUUAUUUAAAACAAUAGUUUUGGGGACUAUUAAAAAGGGGAACCUUUUUUUUGA
rnacentral:tRNA from 1 species